UACGAAGGGGCUAGCGUUGUUCGGAAUUACUGGCGUAAAGGGCUCGUAGGCGGCCAACUAAGUCGGACGUGAAAUCCCUCGGCUUAACCGGGGAACUGCGUCCGAUACUGGAUGGCUUGAGGUUGGGAGAGGGAUGCGGAAUUCCAGGUGUAGCGGUGAAAUGCGUAGAUAUCUGGAGGAACACCGGUGGCGAAGGCGGCAUCCUGGACCAAUUCUGACGCUGAGUGAGCGAAAGCCAGGGAGCAAACGGG
rnacentral:rRNA from 1 species